UGCAACCCCAGAGAAGAGUA
rnacentral:tRNA from 1 species